AGCAACCCCUGGGGGAGGCUGUAAUGCCUGAGAGUCCCGAUUUAGUGGGAGACCCCACGAACCUGAUACGGAUAAUGCCGACGUAGGGAAGGGAAAUAGACCGUAU
rnacentral:ncRNA from 2 species